CCUACGGGUGGCAGCAGUGAGGAAUAUUGGUCAAUGGGCGAGAGCCUGAACCAGCCAAGUCGCGUGAGGGAGUACUGCCCUAUGGGUUGUAAACCUCUUUUGUCGGGGAGCAAAAGCCGGACGUGUCCGGCUGUGAGAGUACCCCAGGAAAAAGCAUCGGCUAACUCCGUGCCAGCAGCCGCGGUAAUACGGAGGAUGCGAGCGUUAUCCGGAUUUAUUGGGUUUAAAGGGUGCGCAGGCGGAUUUUUAAGUCAGCGGUAAAAUCGUGGGGCUCAACCCCAUCCAGCCGUUGAAACUGGGGAUCUAGAGUGUGCGAGAGGUAUGCGGAAUGCGUGGUGUAGCGGUGAAAUGCAUAGAUAUCACGCAGAACCCCGAUUGCGAAGGCAGCAUACCGGUGCACAACUGACGCUGAGGCACGAAAGCGUGGGUAUCGAACAGGAUUAGAUACCCGUGUAGUC
rnacentral:rRNA from 1 species